GUUCACCUACGGGGGGCAGCAGUGGGGAAUAUUGCACAAUGGGGGAAACCCUGAUGCAGCGACGCCGCGUGAGCAAGGAAGUAUUUCGGUAUGUAAAGCUCUAUCAGCAGGGAAGAAAAUGACGGUACCUGACUAAGAAGCCCCGGCUAACUACGUGCCAGCAGCCGCGGUAAUACGUAGGGGGCAAGCGUUAUCCGGAUUUACUGGGUGUAAAGGGAGCGUAGACGGUCCUG
rnacentral:rRNA from 1 species